rnacentral:rRNA from 1 species
AGAGUUUGAUCCUGGCUCAGGAUAAACGCUGGCGGCAUGCCUAAUACAUGCAAGUCGAACGAAAGUAGCAAUACUUUAGUGGCGAACGGGUGAGUAACACGUAGGUAACUUACCCUAAAGACGAGGAUAACAGUUGGAAACGACUGCUAAUACUGGAUAGGUUAAGACAACGCAUGUUGUUUUAAUUAAAGAUGCUCAUGGCAUCACUUUAGGAGAGACCUGCGGUGCAUUAGCUAGUUGGUGAGGUAACGGCCCACCAAGGCGAUGAUGCAUAGCUGUGCUGAGAGGCAAAACAGCCACACUGGGACUGAGACACGGCCCAGACUCCUACGGGAGGCAGCAGUAGGGAAUUUUCGGCAAUGGACGAAAGUCUGACCGAGCAAUGCCGCGUGAACGAUGAAGGUCUUCGGAUUGUAAAGUUCUGUUGUUGGGGAAGAAUAAAGUAAUGAGGAAAUGCAUUACCGAUGACGGUACCCGACUAGAAAGCCCCGGCUAACUAUGUGCCAGCAGCCGCGGUAAUACAUAGGGGGCGAGCGUUAUCCGGAAUUAUUGGGCGUAAAGCGUGCGUAGGCGGUUUAUUAAGUCUGGUGUGAAAUUUCACAGCUUAACUGUGAAGGGUCAUUGGAAACUGGUAAACUUGAGUACGGUAGAGGUAAGUGGAAUUCCAAGUGGAGCGGUGGAAUGCGUAGAUAUUUGGAGGAACACCAGUGGCGAAGGCGGCUUACUGGGCCGGAACUGACGCUGAGGCACGAAAGCGUGGGGGAGCAAACAGGAUUAGAUACCCUGGUAGUCCACGCCGUAAACGAUGAGGUAUUAAGUGUCGGAUGUACAUUCGGUGCUGCAGGUUAACACAAUAAAUACUCCGCCUGGGGAAGUACGGUCGCAAGACUGAAACUCAAAGGAAUUGACGG